UCGCCCAGUGGCGGAUCGGGACCGACGCGCGCGUCCGGUGGAUGCUCGUGGUGCUCGUGACCGGCAUCGCGGCCAUGGUCGUCGCGCAGCUCGGCGGGC
rnacentral:tRNA from 1 species